rnacentral:rRNA from 1 species
GACGAACGCUGGCGGCGUGCCUAAUACAUGCAAGUCGAACGCAUUUUCUUUCACCGUAGCUUGCUACACCGAAAGAAAAUGAGUGGCGAACGGGUGAGUAACACGUGGGUAACCUGCCCAUCAGCGGGGGAUAACACUUGGAAACAGGUGCUAAUACCGCAUAAUUCCAUUUACCGCAUGGUAGAUGGAUGAAAGGCGCUUUUGCGUCACUGAUGGAUGGACCCGCGGUGCAUUAGCUAGUUGGUGGGGUAACGGCCUACCAAGGCUGCGAUGCAUAGCCGACCUGAGAGGGUGAUCGGCCACACUGGGACUGAGACACGGCCCAGACUCCUACGGGAGGCAGCAGUAGGGAAUCUUCGGCAAUGGACGCAAGUCUGACCGAGCAACGCCGCGGGAGUGAAGAAGGGUGUCGGAUCGUAAAACUCUGUUGUUAGAGAAGAACAAGGAUGAGAGUGGAAAGUUCAUCCCUUGACGGUAGCUAACCAGAAAGCCACGGCUAACUACGUG